rnacentral:rRNA from 1 species
UGGGGAUUAUUGGACAACGGGCGAAAGCCUGAUCCAGCCAUCCCGCGUGAGUGAAGAAGGUCUUCGGAUUGUAUCGCACUUUAAGUUGGGAGGAAGGGCAGUAAGCGAAUACCUUGCUGUUUUGACGUCACCGACAGACUAAGCACCGGCUAACUCUGUGCCAGCAGCCGCGGUAAUACAGAGGGUGCGAGCGUUAAUCGGAUUUACUGGGCGUCAAGCGUGCGUAGGCGGCUAAUUGAGUCGGAUGUGAAAUCCCCGAGCUUAACUUGGGAACUGCAGUCGAUACUGGUUAGGUAGAGUGUGGGAGAGGGUGGUAGAAUUACCGGUGUAGCGGUGAAAUGCGUAGAGAGCGGGAGUAAUACCGAGUGCGAAGGCAGCCAUCUGGCCUAACACUGACGCUGAGGUACGAAAGCAUGGGGAGCAAACAGG